rnacentral:rRNA from 1 species
GAUGAACGCUGGCGGCGUGCCUAAUACAUGCAAGUCGAGCGAACAGACGAGGAGCUUGCUCCUCUGACGUUAGCGGCGGACGGGUGAGUAACACGUGGAUAACCUACCUAUAAGACUGGGAUAACUUCGGGAAACCGGAGCUAAUACCGGAUAAUAUAUUGAACCGCAUGGUUCAAUAGUGAAAGACGGUUUUGCUGUCACUUAUAGAUGGAUCCGCGCCGCAUUAGCUAGUUGGUAAGGUAACGGCUUACCAAGGCAACGAUGCGUAGCCGACCUGAGGGGGUGAUCGGCCACCCUGGAAGUGAGACACGGUCCAGACUCCUACGGGAGGCAGCAGUAGGGAAUCUUCCGCAAUGGGCGAAAGCCUGACGGAGCAACGCCGCGUGAGUGAUGAAGGUCUUCGGAUCGUAAAACUCUGUUAUUAGGGAAAAACAAAUGUGUAAGUAACUAUGCACGUAUUGACGGUACCUAAUCAGAAAGCCACGGCUAACUACGUG